rnacentral:rRNA from 1 species
CAGCAGCCGCGGGAAUACGGAGGGAGCUAGCGUUGUUCGGAAUUACUGGGCGUAAAGCGCGCGUAGGCGGUUACUCAAGUCAGAGGUGAAAGCCCGGGGCUCAACCCCGGAACUGCCUUUGAAACUAGGUGACUAGAAUCUUGGAGAGGUCAGUGGAAUUCCGAGUGUAGAGGUGAAAUUCGUAGAUAUUCGGAAGAACACCAGUGGCGAAGGCGACUGACUGGACAAGUAUUGACGCUGAGGUGCGAAAGCGUGGGGAGCAAACAGGAUUAGAUACCCCCGUAGUCCCUGUCUCUUAUAC